GACGAACGCUGGCGGCGUGCUUAACACAUGCAAGUCGAACGGAAAGGCCCUGCUUUUGUGGGGUGCUCGAGUUGCGAACGGGUGAGUAACACGUGAGUAACCUGCCCUUGACUUUGGGAUAACUUCAGGAAACUGGGGCUAAUACCGGAUAGGAGCUCCUGUUGCAUGGUGGGGGUUGGAAAGUUUCGGCGGUUGGGGUUGGACUCGCGGCUUCUCAGCUUGUUGGUGGGGUAGUGGCUUACCAAGGCUUUGACGGGUAGCCGGCCUGAGAGGGUGACCGGCCACAGUGGGACAGAGAUACGGCCCAGACUCCUACGGGAGGCAGCAGUGGGAAAUAGUGCACGAUGGGCGGAAGCCGGAUACAGCAACGCCGCGUGCGGGAUGACGGCCUUCAGGGUGGAAACCGCGUUCGCCUGGAACGUAGAGUGAGUGACGGUAAUGGAUAAAGAAGCACCGGCUAACUACGUG
rnacentral:rRNA from 1 species